rnacentral:lncRNA from 1 species
GAGGGUGUGGCUUAAUUUGUGCAUGAGUGAUUUCAUGAGAAACAUUUUUUCGUGUAAUAAAUGGGGCAUUAAAAGAGGAUAAGGUCAAGGUGCUAAGAUUGGUUGCUCAUUCAAAUUCAAACUUUGUUUUAAAUUUGAAUGGCCAACCAAUCAUCCUUAUCUACUCAUUUGACACAUUAAAGUAGGGUGAGAGGAGUGCUUUGCAUGAGAAAAAAUUCAUGAGAACUUCCUUUUCGUGAAUUCAAAUGGGCGCAGUGGAAGUGAGGUGGCGUAGGGAGAAUGGGUCAAGGUGGUUUCAUUAUUUAAACCAACCUAAUUGAACCAAAUAAGUUAGGCCCAAUUAGACUAAUUUAAACUCAACUAAAUUAGGCUUAAUUAGGCUCAAUAAAAUCCUAAUCAAAUCAGGAAUUGAUUAAGUCCAACCCCUGAUCAAAUCAGGGACCAAACCAUCUCAACGAUUAGGUCAACUCUUAACCUAAUCGGGUCAAAUCCAACUGAAUCCAAUUCAAUUGGACUUGAUCCAAAAAUAAUUACUCAAUCAAAUUGAGUUAAUUAGUGAUCAAAUCACUAAUUAAACCUCUUAUAAAUAUUGAGUCCAAAUUCGAUGGGUAAUCGAGCAUUAGAAUUCAUCGAUAUGUAACCCUGAUCGAAGAGUCCCAAACCAGUGGGACUCUUGACCCCGGUACCCAAAAUGUGUGGGACUCAUGAUCAGAGAAUCCUGAUUCUUGAUCACAGAGUCCCAGACACGUAGGAUUCAUAGUCCACGAGCAUUAGGACUCUUCAUCAACCAUCAGAUC